rnacentral:lncRNA from 1 species
CAACAUCCCUCAACAUUAACACAAUUUCAGUUUAGCAGUUCAGAAACUGAAGUUUUUCGCCGUAGCUCUUCUAAAUGUCCGUUUGCGCUCAAAUUUGACAGUCAAACUCAGUUUAAACUAAUAAGAAGAAAGAUAUCUUAACUUUUCAGUUUCGACCAUUUUUUGUCACCGAAAACUCUACUGACUAGAAUCUCUAGCAGAUAGCAGUGAGAUUCUAUUUUUCACUUUCCGGGUGUCGGAAUGACAUGAAACUUUAAAUCUAACCUCAUAAAAAUAAUUCCAACAUAUUCUCAACUUUUCAUAAUUUUCUAACACUGUGAAUUUUCUGCUAAAAGAUCAGCCCCGUUUCUUACAGAAACUUUUAAAUUUUCUGUUUCCAUUCCAAUUUCAGCACAAGUCAUUUUCGACUUAUAUUUUACUUCUUUAAGUCUAAUAAAAAUAGUAUCUUACACUAUUUUUAUUUACACUUACAUUUAUAUCAAGAAGUCGGUA